rnacentral:sRNA from 2 species
CAAACCGCUGUCUAGGGUUCCGUUAGCUGCAUAUGGGGAUUGCCUCCUCUGAUGAAUGCUAAGCCUGGUCCGAGAGACGGCAUACAGUCGAAUAUAAGUGCUGCUGGCGCGAAUCGCUGUAUAACACGGAAGGAUAAAAGCCUGGGAGAU